rnacentral:lncRNA from 1 species
AUUGUUUUGAACUCCCUAUAUAAUUCCUUUACUGUGACCCCACAGUUCAUAUCUGAGUGGCCUGCUUGUUUGAAAAAUGGGAGUGAUUGGGUUGUGUUUGUGUGGGAAGAGGAAGCUUAGGAGCUUGUUUUGGAGGGUUAGAGCUGAGAUAAGGAGACAAGUGAAGGGUAGGACAUCCAAGCAGAAGUUUAGCUUCCACUAUGAUCCCUUCAGUUAUGCUCUCAACUUCGACAAUGGUAACUUCGGUUUCUUAUGCUGAUCAUCACUCCCAAACUAGAAUCAAUCAAAUCAUAGCUUGUUAAGUUCAUUUUAAGGUCUCUUUGUAUUCUAAGCUAUCUUCUUCUUCUUCUUCUUAUUUAUCACCUUUUCCCCCUUGUUUCUAGUUAGCUUUUUGAUCUUCAUCUGGGUAAUGAUUGUAACUGAAAUCCAACUUCAAAGAAAAUGCAAUCUACCUUUUAGCUAAACAACAAAAUCCUUUCCAUGAAGAUAUAUAUAUUUACAAAUGGUUUUCUUUUUCCUUUAAUGAGCCCACAAUGAUGCUUACCAAUUAACUAGUAUCAAAUUGAUAACAGUGUGAAAAGAGAUACCGUCGAAAAGGAGAAGGCAAUGCAAAUGGAGAUUUGGGUUUCGAUGUUUGAAUGUUAUGAAUUUGUGUAGAUUAAUGGCAUGCAAAGCUGAGUUUCUUUCAACGUCAAGCGGGUAGCUUUUGUUUAUGAGAAAUGUGUUAAAACUUGUUUUUAAUUCAGUGUUGACAGUUCUCUGACCGUAUCUCAGCUGGGGUUUUCCUCUUGUGGAUUUAUUUCUUCCAGCACCACAACUUCACUGCACUACUAUAAAUGCUCCAGCACCAGCACUAAUGUCUCAUCCGUUCGUUUUGUCUUGUAAUAUAACACCGUUUUACUUCGCCAUUGAAUAGGUUAGGGUCUGGGGUAUGAGCCAUCGGUUUUCAUUUGGAACACCCCUCCCUCCUUCACAGUUCACACUGCAUAUAUUUCUCUUUCGAAUCUUGUUUAAUUGGACCAUUAUUUCUUUCCCAGUUCCAUGUUCUCAUUAAUAUACUAAUGUAAAAAAGAUCAUUUGUGUGUGUGGUAAAAUACGUAUUGUGUUGAGCAGC